UUUUGCUCCUGGAUUUCUCUUUCUUUUCUUUUUUCUCUUUUCCUGCCUCCUUAUCCCCAUUGCUGC
rnacentral:ribozyme from 15 species